AAUGCAUCCGAGAACAGAAAGCAAUGUCGUAUGCUCCUCUCAGUACAUGCCGUGCAAUCUGCUCACCCUCACUUUUUCCCCUUUCCCUCGCCCCUAACAGCUGCAUAUGCCAGGGAGAAUCCGGGAUGGCCUGGGGUUCCUAUCGUCGCUUCAUACAUGCUGAGAGCCAUCGAUCGAAACAUCCUCGUCUCUAAUGAACCCCUAUCUUCAAUCAAGUCUACUAUAAAUAUCAUAGGAGGAAAGAAAAAUGUCAUAUAUUGACCAAAAAAAACAAUGCUAUACUUAUAAGCAUACUUGCUUAGAAAAUAAUUAUUUUCAGUGACUUCUGAACACAGUCAAUAUCUUCGAUAUAAGUAAACUCUAUAAAGGGUAUUAAUUUUUGUCAAUGAGAGCGAUGGAGCCAAGGAGAUCAAAUUAGCACAAGAAUUCCCAGUAAGUUACGUAAAGGUUUGUGACUUCGCAGAACUUAUAACUGCCGCAUCUUCCUUGAAUUUAAAUUCUUCAGGCACGUGGCAUAUCUAAAAAAAACUUCUUUCACAUUCCUCACCAUUCGCGAAAAAAAAAACACCGGCUUAAUCGUGAUUUGAUACAAUAAAACGUCCUCUACCUGGACAGAGAUAGUGAACAGAUGGAAUAUUCCCACUUAAUCAGAUUCAGUUGGCAAAUAAAAAAAAGGUGAAAAAAAUA